rnacentral:rRNA from 1 species
UACGUAGGGCGCAAGCGUUGUCCGGAAUUAUUGGGCGCAAAGAGCUCGUAGGCGGUUUGUCACGUCGGCUGUGAAAACCCGAGGCUCAACCUCGGGCCUGCAGUCGAUACGGGCAGGCUCGAGUUCGGUAGGGGAGACUGGAAUUCCUGGUGUAGCGGUGAAAUGCGCAGAUAUCAGGAGGAACACCGGUGGCGAAGGCGGGUCUCUGGGCCGAUACUGACGCUGAGGAGCGAAAGCGUGGGGAGCGAACAGG